GUUGAUGGCCAUAUCACCCUAAGCAUGCCUGAUCUUGUCUGAUCUCAGAAGCUAAGGAGGAUCUGGCCUGGUUAGUACUUCAGUAGGAGAUUUUAAGAUCAACACACAAAAGUUAAUUAUA
rnacentral:rRNA from 1 species